rnacentral:rRNA from 1 species
CCAGACUCCUACGGGAGGCAGCAGUGGGGAAUAUUGCACAAUGGGGGAAACCCUGAUGCAGCGACGCCGCGUGAGUGAAGAAGUAUUUCGGUAUGUAAAGCUCUAUCAGCAGGGAAGAAAAAAGACGGUACCUGACUAAGAAGCCCCGGCUAACUACGUGCCAGCAGCCGCGGUAAUACGUAGGGGGCAAGCGUUAUCCGGAUUUACUGGAUGUAAAGGGAGCGUAGACGGUGCGUCAAGUCUGAAGUGAAAGCCCGGGGCUUAACCCCGGGACUGCUUUGGAAACUGGCGCGCUAGAGUGCUGGAGAGGUAAGUGGAAUUCCUAGUGUAGCGGUGAAAUGCGUAGAUAUUAGGAGGAACACCAGUGGCGAAGGCGGCUUACUGGACAGUAACUGACGUUGAGGCUCGAAAGCGUGGGGAGCAAACAGGAUUAGAUACCCCAGUAGC